rnacentral:rRNA from 1 species
GACGAACGCUGGCGGCGUGCCUAAUACAUGCAAGUUGAGCGAUGAAGAUUGGUGCUUGCACCAAUUUGAAGAGCAGCGAACGGGUGAGUAACGCGUGGGGAAUCUGCCUUUGAGCGGGGGACAACAUUUGGAAACGAAUGCUAAUACCGCAUAACAACUUUAAACAUAAGUUUUAAGUUUGAAAGAUGCAAUUGCAUCACUCAAAGAUGAUCCCGCGUUGUAUUAGCUAGUUGGUGAGGUAAAGGCUCACCAAGGCGAUGAUACAUAGCCGACCUGAGAGGGUGAUCGGCCACAUUGGGACUGAGACACGGCCCAAACUCCUACGGGAGGCAGCAGUAGGGAAUCUUCGGCAAUGGACGAAAGUCUGACCGAGCAACGCCGCGUGAGUGAAGAAGGGUGUCGGAUCGUAAAACUCUGUUGGUAGAGAAGAACGUUGGUGAGAGUGGAAAGCUCAUCGAGUGACGGUAACUACCCAGAAAGGGACGGCUAACUACGUG